GCAUUGAUGGUGUAAUGGUAACAUCGUACCUUCCCAAGGUAUGGCCCCGGGUUCGAUUCCCGGUCAAUGCA